UACGUAGGGGGCGAGCGUUGUCCGCAGUUACUGGGCGUAAAGCGCGCGUAGGCGGGUCUUUAAGUGAGUGGUGAAAGGUUCAGGGCUCAACCCGGACACUGCCUUUCAUACUGGGGACCUUGAGUGCGGGAGGGGCGAGUGGAAUGGUCGGUGUAGCGGUGAAAUGCGUAGAUAUCGAUCGGAACACCCAUGGCGAAGGCAGCUCGCUGGCCUGCAACUGACGCUGAGGCGCGAAAGCGUGGGGAGCAAACAGG
rnacentral:rRNA from 1 species